UACGGGGGGGGCAAGCGUUGUUCGGAAUUACUGGGCGUAAAGGGCUCGUAGGCGGCCAGAUAAGUCCGGUGUGAAAGUCAAAGGCUCAACCUUUGAAUGCCGCUGGAAACUGUCUGGCUAGAGUCCGGGAGGGGCGAGUGGAAUUCCAGGUGUAGCGGUGAAAUGCGUAGAUAUCGGAAGGAACAUCAGUGGCGAAAGCGACUUCCUGGACCAGUACCGACGUUCAGGCACGAAAGCGUGGGGAGCAAACAGG
rnacentral:rRNA from 1 species